AACGAACGCUGGCGGCAGGCUUAACACAUGCAAGUCGAACGAGCUGGGGGCAACGGUCUCCGCUGAUAGUGGCGCACGGGUGCGUAAGACGUGGGUAUAUGCCAUUUAGUACGGAAUAAGCAAGGGAAACUUUGGAUAAUACCGUAAAAGCCCUUAGGGGGAAAGAUUUAUAGCAAAAGGAUUUGCCCGCGUCUGAUUAGGUAGUUGGGGAGGUAAUGGCGCACCAUGCCGACGAUCAGUAGCUGGCCUGAGAGGAUGAUCAGCCACACUGGGACUGAGACACAGCGCAGACUCCUACGGGAGGCAGCAGUGGGGAAUAUAGGACAAUGGGGUCAACCCUGAACCAGCCAGGCCGCGUGAGUGAAGAAGUCCGGCGGGUUGUAAAGCUCUUUCGACGGGGACGAUUAUGACGGUACCCGAAUAAGAAGCCCCGGCAAACUUCGUG
rnacentral:rRNA from 1 species